UACGUAGGGUGCAAGCGUUGUCCGGAUUUAUUGGGUUUAAAGGGUGCGUAGGCGGCCCGUUAAGUCAGCGGUGAAAUCCCGGGGCUCAACCCCGGAACUGCCGUUGAUACUGGCGGGCUUGAGUUCGGUCGAGGCGGGCGGAACUGGUGGUGUAGCGGUGAAAUGCUUAGAUACCACCAAGAACCCCGAUUGCGUAGGCAGCUCGCUGUGCCGAAACUGACGCUGAGGCACGAAAGCGUGGGGAGCGAACAGG
rnacentral:rRNA from 1 species